UCCGAGCUCAUUAAAACUACUGGCGGUUUUUACUAUAAAAUCGAUUUGUUUUCGGAUGUUUUCUGAAAAAUGUUUCGGUGGCAGAUUAUUUGCCUGUUAAUUUGCAUUGCUGAAUUCAACGCUCAAGAUUAUGACGAACUCCCGACACCGACAAAGGAGAACAUUUCUCGUGGUAGUGAUGCUUCUACCGGACAAUUUCCAUACCACGUCGGACUUCACGGUCUAAGAGGACAUUUCUGCGGUGCAUCAGAGUUGAACGAUUAUGUGAUGUAGGUGUUAUCAGCCGCUCAUUGCUUUUUCCAAAGACCUACCAGUGAUCCUAGUAUCGUGAAAGUUUACGUUGGAUCGACUAACAUAAACAGUGGUGAUACGUACGAUGUCAGAUCUAUUCAAAUACAUCCAGGCUAUCAAGGUUCAAGAGGUUACCAAUUCGACGCAGCUGUACUGCAGAAUUUAUCAGAAUCGAGUUCAACUAUUAUAUUCAACCGAUCGUACUGGCUUUUAGAGGAGUAAGUAGAGGUCGUGAAUGCAUCGUCAGCGGAUGGGGACUUCUCGGUUAUCAGGGAAGCAGCAGCCGACCAGAAACUUUACAAUAUGUAGUAGAAACCGUAAUUGGUUGGCCCCAAUGUAAAAAUGCGUGGCCAGUGGCUGUAGGCGAUUCAAAUAUGUGCACGCAAAGGGUUGGAGAAUCGGGACCAAGACCCGGUGACUCAGGUGGUCCGCUAGUCUUUGUGACGCCCAAUGGCUACAGACAAGUCGGCAUUGUGUCGGGAUCUGCACCAGGACGUCCGUACGUCUAUACAAGCGUAAAAUAUGUUUGCACGGGUUGCCAAAUGUUGCAGUAUCAGCCGAUAUUAUACAACGCCUCUUUCCAUGACAAAUUUGCAUAACUCUUUCGUUAGCAUAUGAAGCUAAACAAGCUGAAAAAUAUAAUUUAU